rnacentral:rRNA from 1 species
AGAGUUUGAUCCUGGCUCAGAGCGAACGCUAGCGGCGCGCUUAACACAUGCAAGUCGCACGAGAAAGAGGGGCAACCCUUGAGUAAAGUGGCGCACGGGUGAGUAACACGUGGGUAAUCUCCCCCCGAGAUUGGAAUAACCCGCCGAAAGGUGGGCUAAUACCGGAUAAGACCACGGGACGCAAGUCCUGCGGUCAAAGGCGGGUCGGCAACGGCCUGUCGCUUGGGGAUGAGCCCGCGUCCCAUCAGCUAGUUGGUAAGGUAACGGCUUACCAAGGCUAAGACGGGUAGCUGGUCUUAGAGGACGAUCAGCCACACUGGCACUGGAACACGGGCCAGACUCCUACGGGAGGCAGCAGUGGGGAAUCUUGCGCAAUGGGCGAAAGCCUGACGCAGCGACGCCGCGUGAGGGAAGAAGGUCUUCGGAUCGUAAACCUCUGUCGGAGGGGAAGAAACCUUCGGGUGCUAAUACCACCCGGAAUUGACGGUACCCUCUGAGGAAGCAUCGGCUAACUACGUGCCAGCAGCCGCGGUAAUACGUAGGAUGCAAGCGUUGCUCGGAAUUAUUGGGUGUAAAGGGCGCGUAGGCGGCUUGGCCAGUCACGGGUGAAAGCCCCCGGCUUAACCGGGGAAUUGCCUAUGAUACUACCAAGCUUGAGUACGGGAGAGGGAAGUGGAAUUCCUGGUGUAGCGGUGAAAUGCGUAGAUAUCAGGAGGAACACCGGCGGCGAAGGCGGCUUCCUGGACCGAUACUGACGCUGAGGCGCGAAAGCGUGGGUAGCAAACAGGAUUAGAUACCCUGGUAGUCCACGC